rnacentral:misc_RNA from 1 species
GUGAAUUAAACAUGCUUGGUGUCUUCGCUUCGGCAAGGCCCUUGCUUAAAUCACAUCCUAACACCUGCUGAACUGUAAGACGUAUGAUGAGGUCUUUGGCCAAGUCAUCGUCUGCCCAUUUUUAACAAACAAUUAAUGUAACAAACGUAGUCUUAUUAUAACCUAAUA